AUUCAGCUCUCCGCUCCGCUGGGACCCGCACAGCGCCAGUGGCUCGGGGGUCGGCCCUCGCCUCCUCCCCGGCCCGGGCCUAGAGCCACCCCUAACCAGAGGCCGGAGACAGCUGGAGCGGCUGCCGCAUCCCGGCCCAGCCUCCCCUACCAUCCCUCCCCCUUCCACUGGACAUCUGGACCCUAGGCCCCCGCACCGACAGGGUUCCGGAAACCCUCCCCGCCCAGCCCGGCGGCCGGGCCCCGCGCCUCUCUCUCUCUAGAGCCCCCAGCCCUCCUCAAGACUAGACUUCCGCCUACCCCUGGACACCUCCUCCCGGUCCCCUCCCUCCCCCCCUCCCACAGCCUGGACCGGGGUAGGAGGGAGGGGGGGUGUGCGCCCGGCGCCGUCCCCGCCCCGCCCCCCGUGAUUCCCCCUGCAUGGCCGGCCCGGGUGGGGGGCGCGGGGGGGCCCGGGCGCCAUGCGGGGGGGGCACAAAGGGGGUCGCUGUGCCUGUCCCCGUGUGAUCCGAAAAGUGCUGGCAAAAUGCGGCUGCUGCUUCGCCCGGGGGGGACGUGGGGUGCCCUGGUGAAAUUUUCUAUCCUGGCCAACUCAAAUGAGGAUGGCAAGAGAGUGAGCCCUUGGAGAGAGAGGCUGAGCAUCAUGAAGAGAAGACCCUGGGAGUUCCCUGGGGACCCUGAGUCUGGAGCUGGGGCAAGGCCCCCCAGGGCCCGUCAGUGGCCUGAGGAGAUGGUUGGAUCAUUCCAAACAUUGUCUCAGUGUGGAAACUGAGGCAGACAGUGGUCAGGCAGGACCAUAUGAGAACUGGAUGUUGGAGCCAGCUCUAGCCACAGGAGAGGAGCUGCCGGAACUGACCUUGCUGACCACACUGUUGGAGGGCCCUGGAGAUAAGACGCAGCCACCUGAAGAGGAGACUUUGUCCCAAGCCCCUGAGAGUGAGGAGGAACAGAAGAAGAAGGCUCUGGAAAGGAGUAUGUAUGUCCUGAGUGAACUGGUAGAAACAGAGAAAAUGUACGUGGACGACUUGGGGCAGAUUGUGGAGGGUUAUAUGGCCACCAUGGCUGCUCAGGGGGUCCCCGAGAGUCUUCGAGGCCGUGACAGGAUUGUGUUUGGGAAUAUCCAGCAAAUCUAUGAGUGGCACCGAGACUAUUUCUUGCAAGAGCUACAACGGUGUCUGAAAGAUCCUGAUUGGCUGGCUCAGCUAUUCAUCAAACACGAGCGCCGGCUGCAUAUGUAUGUGGUGUACUGUCAGAAUAAGCCCAAGUCAGAGCAUGUGGUGUCAGAGUUUGGGGACAGCUACUUUGAGGAGCUCCGGCAGCAGCUGGGGCACCGCCUGCAGCUGAACGACCUCCUCAUCAAACCUGUGCAGCGGAUCAUGAAAUACCAGCUGCUGCUCAAGGAUUUUCUCAAGUAUUACAAUAGAGCUGGGAUGGAUACUGCAGACCUAGAGCAAGCUGUGGAGGUCAUGUGCUUUGUGCCCAAGCGCUGCAACGAUAUGAUGACGCUGGGGAGAUUGCGGGGAUUUGAGGGCAAACUGACUGCUCAGGGGAAGCUCUUGGGCCAGGACACUUUCUGGGUCACCGAGCCUGAGGCUGGAGGGCUGCUGUCUUCCCGAGGUCGAGAGAGGCGCGUCUUCCUCUUUGAGCAAAUCAUCAUCUUCAGUGAAGCCCUGGGAGGAGGAGUGAGAGGUGGAACACAGCCUGGAUAUGUAUACAAGAACAGCAUUAAGGUGAGCUGCCUGGGACUGGAGGGGAACCUCCAAGGUGACCCUUGCCGCUUUGCACUGACCUCCAGAGGGCCAGAGGGUGGGAUCCAGCGCUAUGUCCUGCAGGCUGCAGACCCUGCUAUCAGUCAGGCCUGGAUCAAGCAUGUGGCUCAGAUCUUGGAGAGCCAACGGGACUUCCUCAACGCAUUGCAGUCACCCAUUGAGUACCAGAGACGGGAGAGCCAGACCAACAGCCUGGGGCGGCCAAGAGGGCCUGGAGUGGGGAGCCCUGGAAGAAUUCAGCUUGGAGAUCAGGCCCAGGGCAGCACACACACACCCAUCAAUGGCUCUCUCCCCUCUCUGCUGCUGUCACCCAAAGGGGAGGUGGCCAGAGCCCUCUUGCCACUGGAUAAACAGGCCCUUGGUGACAUCCCCCAGGCUCCCCAUGACUCUCCUCCAGUCUCUCCAACUCCAAAAACCCCUCCCUGCCAAGCCAGACUUGCCAAGCUGGAUGAAGAUGAGCUGUAACUGGUGAAAACCAUGGGGGUGGUGCUGACUCAGCCGCCUAUUCCCCAAGGAGCUUCAGGGCAGUCCUUCUGGCACUGCUCCAGAAUUCCUCCUUCUUGGUGUGUCUGGAGGGUGGGCAAGGCUGGGAGGGAUAUCAACUUGGAGGAGAACACCUAGACCCAAGGACUUUUUUCUGCCCAAGGAACACAGUUUCCUUCAGCUCCCAUCCCUAUGCAUGCAUCAUGGUCCCCCCAAAAGGAGGAUAUGUGGGUGGGUGGGAGGGCUGGGGCAGGGGCCAGAUAGAAAUUAUUGGUUUUGUUUUUUAAUUUUGUUUUUCCUGUUUUCUGAGAAUAAAGGUUUUGUUAUAUCACC